AGUGCUUCUCUGUAAGAUGCAUUGAAUUCCAGUGCUUCAUAUAGAGAAGCAUUGAAUGCUCAGGGACUUACAUUACGUGCUGAUGCCAGAGUCAAAUAGAAUCAAUGGCUGAAUCUAACUGUGUCCAAAGUCCUUAGUAGUUGUCUGUCUGAAAGCGGCAUCUCUCAGAAACAAGUGUGAGUGUUCAACUCUAUGGAAUCCUGCUCAUAGGAAUUGUAUCAUUUUAUUACAACCAGGGCACCAUAUAAUGCAUUUAUACUCCAG